UACGUAGGGCGCAAGCGUUGUCCGGAAUUAUUGGGCGUAAAGGGCUCGUAGGCGGUUUGUCGCGUCGGGAGUGAAAACAUCCAGCUUAACUGGGUGCUUGCUUUCGAUACGGGCAGACUUGAGGUAUGCAGGGGAGAAUGGAAUUCCUGGUGUAGCGGUGAAAUGCGCAGAUAUCAGGAGGAACACCGAUGGCGAAGGCAGCUCGCUGGGACGGUACUGACGCUGAGGCGCGAAAGCGUGGGGAGCAAACGGG
rnacentral:rRNA from 1 species